AAGCGGAGGAAAAGAAAAUAACAAUGAUUCCCUUAGUAACGGCGAGUGAAGGGGGAAAAGCUCAAAUUUUAAAUCUGCUAGGUUUUACUUAUCAGAAUUGUAAUUUGAAGAAGCGUUUUCCGCGUCUUGGUUGACCCAAAUCCUUUGGGAUAAGGUAUCAUGGAGGGUGAGAAUCCCGUUCGGUUGACCUUAUGACGCUCUACAAUACGCUCUCUAAGAGUCGAGUUGUUUGGGAUUGCAGCUCAAAAUGGGAGGUAAAUUUCUCCUAAGGCUAAAUAUCGGCGAGAGACCGAUAGCGAACAAGUACCGUGAGGGAAAGAUGAAAAGAACUUUGAAAAGAGAGUAAAAUAGUACGUGAAAUUGUUGAAAGGGAAACGAUUGAAGUCAGUCGUACCGACGAGAAAUCAACUUAUCGUGUGCGAACU
rnacentral:rRNA from 1 species